rnacentral:rRNA from 1 species
AACGAACGCUGGCGGCAGGCCUAACACAUGCAAGUCGAUCGAUAUAGUGGCAGACGGGUGAGUAACGCGUGGGAACGUACCUUUCACUACGGAAUAGCUCCGGGAAACUGGUGGUAAUACCGUAUACGCCCUCAGGGGGAAAGAUUUAUCGGUGAAAGAUCGGCCCGCGUUGGAUUAGCUAGUUGGUGAGGUAAUGGCUCACAAAGGCGACGAUCCAUAGCUGGUCUGAGAGGAUGAUCAGCCACACUGGGACUGAGACACGGCCCAGACUCCUACGGGAGGCAGCAGUGGGGAAUCUUGCACAAUGGGCGAAAGCCUGAUGCAGCCAUGCCGCGUGAAUGAUGAAGGCCUUAGGGUUGUAAAAUUCUUUUACCAGGGACGAUAAUGACGGUACCUGGAGAAAAAGCCCCGGCUAACUUCGUGCCAGCAGCCGCCGUAAUAC